GGCGGCGUGCCUAACACAUGCAAGUCGUACGAGAAAGCCGGCUUCGGCUGGUGAGUAAAGUGGCGCACGGGUGAGUAACGCGUGGAGUAAUCUGCCCUUAACGUAGUGGAAUAAACGUACCGAAAGGUGCGCUAAUACCGCAUAAUGCCUGGCAACACAAGUUGUCCGGCCAAAGAAGGCCUCUGUUUACAAGCUUUCGCUUCAGGAUGAGUCCGCGUACCAUUAGCUUGUUGGUGGGGGUAAUGGCCUACCAAGGCUGCGAUGGUUAGCUGGUCUGAGAGGAUGAUCAGCCACACUGGAACUGAGACACGGUCCAGACUCCUACGGGAGGCAGCAGUGAGGAAUAUUGCGCAAUGGGGGCAACCCUGACGCAGCAACGCCGCGUGAGUGAGGAAGGUUUUCGGACUGUAAAGCUCUGUCGAGCGGGAAGAAGUGUACCAUGGCUAAUAUCCAUGAUAUUUGACGGUACCGCUAGAGGAAGCACCGGCUAACUCCGUG
rnacentral:rRNA from 1 species